CGGUAGAGCGUGAGACUCUUAAUCUCAAGGUUGCGGGUUCGACCCCCGCAUUGGGCU
rnacentral:tRNA from 1 species